CCAGACUCCUACGGGAGGCAGCAGUGAGGAAUAUUGGUCAAUGGGCGCGAGCCUGAACCAGCCAAGUCGCGUGAGGGAUGACGGCCCUACGGGUUGUAAACCUCUUUUGUCGGGGAGCAAAUUCCGUUACGUGUAACGGAGUCGAGAGUACCCGAAGAAAAAGCAUCGGCUAACUCCGUGCCAGCAGCCGCGGUAAUACGUAGGUGGCAAGCGUUAUCCGGAUUUAUUGGGUGUAAAGGGCGUGUAGGCGGGAAUGCAAGUCAGAUGUGAAAACUAUGGGCUCAACCCAUAGCCUGCAUUUGAAACUGUAUUUCUUGAGUGCUGGAGAGGCAAUCGGAAUUCCGUGUGUAGCGGUGAAAUGCGUAGAUAUACGGAGGAACACCAGUGGCGAAGGCGGAUUGCUGGACAGUAACUGACGCUGAGGCGCGAAAGCGUGGGGAGCAAACAGGAUUAGAUACCCCAGUA
rnacentral:rRNA from 1 species